ensembl:lncRNA
UGAGUGACGAGUCGACAUGCAGGUAGACGCUUCAAAGGGACCCGCUAGAUCUGCACAAGAGCAUAAAGGUAAGUGUAACAGGACUGGACACGGAUAGUGGACAGAGGGGCCGCUGGCUCUUCACUCGGGGGCACAAGUAAGUCCGUAGGAAAGACAACUGGGGUUUCACUUGGGCAGACAGGCGAGUGUACAACACAAUAUGCUGGCUUUAGCUUUGGGCAUAAGGUAAGUACAUCCAAUAUAACUGGGACUUCACUCUGGGCAUACAGGCGAGUGUACAACACAAUAUGCUGGCUUUAGCUUUGGGCAUAAGGUAAGUACAUCCAAUAUAACUGGGACUUUACUCUGGGCAGACAGGCGAGUGUACAACACAAUAUGCUGGCUUUAGCUUUGGGCAUAAGGUAAGUACAUCCAAUAUAACUGGGACUUCACUCUGGGCGGACAGGCGAGUGUACAACACAAUAUGCUGGCUUUAGCUUUGGGCAUAAGGUAAGUACAUCCAAUAUAACUGGGACUUUACUCUGGGCAGACAGGUGGGUGUACAACACAAUAUGCUGACUUUAGCUUUGGGCAUACGCUUACGGUGAAUAUACAGGGAAACAGGAAGUGAUGUAACUCACAGACCUUCGAGGGAAUAGACGUCAGACGUUCCUUUUCUGAGGCUUCUACCAACUGCUGAUAGAGAGGCGGAUCGAAAACUGUUGCGUUGGGCCGAACACGGCCUCCGCUGGCGUCACACACAGGUAAGUUGUCUCACCCGGGGUGUACUACACUGGAUGGGUCGAACGCUUCCCUCUUCUUUCUACCAACCGACAAGUCAAGAGAUCUAGACAGGGGCGAACCUUUGAAGAACUCCACAGCAGGUAAU